rnacentral:rRNA from 1 species
UAAGGUCACGGCAAGACGAGCCGUUUAUCAUUGCGAUAGGUGUCAAGUGGAAGUACAGUGAUGUAUGCAGCUGAGGCAUCCUAAAAGACCGAUAUAUUUGAAC